CUGGCGUGCUGCAGUUCAUGGGAUCACAAAGAGUUGGACAUGACUGAGCAACUGAACUGGAACUGGAAAUACUACUUUAAAGAAUCCACCUGCAAUACAGGAGACCCAGGUUCCAUCCCUGGGUUGGGAACAUCCCCUGGAGAAGGGAAAGGCAACUCACUCCCAUCCUUCUUGUCUGGAGAAUCCCAUGGAUAGAAGAUCCUGUCUGGCUGCAGUCCUCCAUGGAGUUGCAAAGAGUUGAAUGGGACCAAGCAACUAACACUUACCAGGGAUUGAGGUGUGCCACAGUGGUAAAGAAUCCACCUGCCAAUGCAGGAGAUGCAGGAGACACAGGAGACAGGGUUUGGAUCCCUGGCUUGGGAAGAUACUCUGCAGUAGGAAAUGGCAGCCCACUCCAGUAUUCUUGCCUGGAAAAUCCCAUGGACAGAGGAUCCUGAAGGACUACGGUCCAUGGGGUCACAAAGAAUUGAACAUGAGAUUGACUGAGCAUGCUCACAAUAUUCCAUUG
ensembl:lncRNA